rnacentral:lncRNA from 1 species
CAAGCCUCCCGCUCCACGUGCGGUCAGGAACCAGCCUGUGGGCGUGGCUGCUCCGCCUCGCCCCGCCCACCGCUCAGCUCCCGGCAGCCUCAGCGGCGGCGCGGCCCCGCCCACCCCCGCAUUCCCCGGCAGCCUCCGCGGCCGCGGGCUCCCAGACGCCUCCAGGGCUUCCAGCGUGCGGGAGGGUGGCGCUGCCCUGGGGGCUCCACAUGUGCGCGGUGUCCCCACCGCGAGGGCGUAGCCGAGUCCUCCGACGCUCCCGGACGCCGAGGGCGCGAUGGGCGCGGAAGUAGAGGACUCCGUGUGGCUGUGCCUGGAGACUCCCGUCCUGCGCCGCCCUCAGGCGGCGGCGGGCUGCAGCCUCACGUGGCGCGCCCCGGCUUUCCAGACACGCAUGUGAGAGACGAGGCUGCGGGCCCCACAGCACGGGCUCUUAGGGGCGCCGGCCCCACCCGCGAGCCGCCCCGCGCCCCGGGCCUGACGGCCUGUGGUGGGGCGUCGCCUCAGGGCAGCCUUCUGCUUUCACACCCGCGUGGCGGCGGCUGGAGCGCUCCGGGCGGAGAGCCUGCGUCCUGGCCGGAAGGCGCUGUGGCUCGGCGCGGGUCGGGUUGCGCCGCAGCGAAGCUCCGGGGAAGGCGCGUGACCUGCGCGGAGCCCCGGGCAGCCCCGACGCCGCCCUGCGCUCCUGCUGCGGCCUCCCGUCGCCUCCGUGACUCCAGGCGCGUCUCUGGCCCGCCGUCUGCAGCCGUCUCCGCCACUGACUGGGGCGUUGGCGGGUCUUCACGGCCUUCCUUCCCUCGUGUGCGCCUUUGGGGGCUCCCGCUUGGGCUGGCGGUCAUCCUGGUGCGCCGUGAGCCACUUUCGAAGCCCCAGGCUUGCUCUUUUUUUUUUUUAAGAUUUUAUUUAUUCCUCACAGACACAGAGAGAGAGAGAGAGAGGCAGAGACACAGGCAGACGGAGAAGCAGGCUCCCAAGGAGGAACCUGAUGCGGGACUCGAUCUUGGGAUCCUGGAGUCACGGCCGCAGCUGAAGGCAGACGCUCAACCUUGGAGCCACCCAGCCGUCCCUCAAGACUGGCUCUUGACCUUACUCUUCCCCUCAAGGUUCCCACGCGACCAGAGGUUUCUGGCAAUUCUCUCAUUCUUUUCUGGGAAACCGUGA